CGCGUAGGCGGCGAUAUCAGUCAGAUGUGAAAUUCCUGGGCUUAACCUGGGGGCUGCAUUUGAGACGGUAUUGCUUGAGUUUGGAAGAGGGUCGUGGAAUUCCCAGUGUAGAGGUGAAAUUCGUAGAUAUUGGGAAGAACACCGGUGGCGAAGGCGGCGACCUGGUCCUCGACUGACGCUGAGGCGCGAAAGCGUGGGGAGCAAACAGGAUUAGAUACCCUGGUAGUCCACGCUGUAAACGAUGUGCGCUGGAUGUUGGGCGGCCUAGCCGUUCAGUGUCGUAGCUAACGCGGUAAGCGCACCGCCUGGGGAGUACGGCCGCAAGGUUGAA
rnacentral:rRNA from 1 species